AAGUCGUAACAAGGUUUCCGUAGGUGAACCUGCGGAAGGAUCAUUACCAAAACAAAGCGAACUUGGCCUCCAGGUCUUGAGAGCUUCAACCUCUUGUGAACCAAACCUUUAUUUUCGCUUCGGCAGCAGUGGCUUCUGUCAUGUCAGCCUGCCGUUAGCACCAAACCAAAACUUGCAGUAUCUCAUGUCUGAAAUCAAAUUUUUGAAUCAAAUCAAAACUUUCAACAACGGAUCUCUUGGUUCCC
rnacentral:misc_RNA from 1 species